GUGCCAGCAGCCGCGGUAAUACGAAGGGGGCAAGCGUUGUUCGGAAUCAUUGGGCGUAAAGCGCGUGUAGGUGGUCUAUUAAGUCGGGUGUGAAAUCCCUGGGCUCAACCGAGGAAGUGCAUUCGAAACUGAUAGACUAGAAGGUGGUAGAGGAUGGUGGAAUUCCAGGUGUAGAGGUGAAAUUCGUAGAUAUCUGGAGGAAUACCGGUGGCGAAGGCGGCAUCCUGGACCAAUUCUGACACUGAGGAGCGAAAGCCAGGGGAGCAAACGGGAUUAGAUACCCCAGUAGUCC
rnacentral:rRNA from 1 species